rnacentral:rRNA from 1 species
GACGGACGCUGGCGGCGUGCUUAACACAUGCAAGUCGAACGGAAAGGCCCCAGCUUGCUGGGGUACUCGAGUGGCGAACGGGUGAGUAACACGUGGGUGAUCUGCCCUGCACUCUGGGAUAAGCCUGGGAAACUGGGUCUAAUACCGGAUAGGACCGUGCUUUAGUGUGUGCGGUGGAAAGUUUUUCGGUGCAGGAUGAGCCCGCGGCCUAUCAGCUUGUUGGUGGGGUAAUGGCCUACCAAGGCGGCGACGGGUAGCCGGCCUGAGAGGGUGUACGGCCACAUUGGGACUGAGACACGGCCCUGACUCCUACGGGAGGCAGCAGUGGGGAAUAUUGCACAAUGGGCGCAAGCCUGAUGCAGCGACGCCGCGUGGGGGAUGACGGCCUUCGGGUUGUAAACCCCUUUCGGCAGGGACGAAGCUUUUGUGACGGUACCUGCAUAAGAAGCACCGGCUAACUACGUG